AGUGAACGCUGGCGGUAGGCCUAACACAUGCAAGUCGAACGGCAGCACAGUAAGAGCUUGCUCUUACGGGUGGCGAGUGGCGGACGGGUGAGGAAUACUUCGGAAUCUACUUUUUCGUGGGGGAUAACGUAGGGAAACUUACGCUAAUACCGCAUACGACCUACGGGUGAAAGCAGGGGAUCUUCGGACCUUGCGCGAUUGAAUGAGCCGAUGUCGGACUAGCUAGUUGGCGGGGUAAAGGCCCACCAAGGCGACGAUCCGUAGCUGGUCUGAGAGGAUGAUCAGCCACACUGGAACUGAGACACGGUCCAGACUCCUACGGGAGGCAGCAGUGGGGAAUAUUGGACAAUGGGCGCAAGCCUGAUCCAGCCAUACCGCGUGGGUGAAGAAGGCCUUCGGGUUGUAAAGCCCUUUUGUUGGGAAAGAAAAGCAGCAGGUUAAUACCCCGCUGUUCUGACGGUACCCAAAGAAUAAGCACCGGCUAACUUCGU
rnacentral:rRNA from 1 species